rnacentral:rRNA from 1 species
UACGUAGGGGGCAAGCGUUGUCCGGAAUCAUUGGGCGUAAAGCGCGUGUAGGCGGCUAGGUAAGUCUGCUCUGAAAGCCCGGGGCUCAACCCCGGGAGGCGGGUGGAUACUGUCUAGCUCGAGUCCGGAAGAGGAGUGUGGAAUUCCUGGUGUAGCGGUGAAAUGCGCAGAUAUCAGGAGGAACACCAAUGGCGAAGGCAGCACUCUGGGACGUGACUGACGCUGAGACGCGAAAGCGUGGGGAGCAAACGGG